GAAUAUUGAAUUUUGAAUUUUUAACGCCAUUCAAGCCACAAGAAAUAUUCAAAUAUGCAAGUGUGAUACGAAAAGUAAUAAUAAUUAGGAUUAUUUUUGAAGAAAGCGAGUCCUACCAUCAUAUCUAGUCAAAAAUUGAGUUGAAAGUUCAUCAAACAUGAAAUGCGCUUCGAAUGUUUAAUCAAGACUGAGAAAAACACAGAAGCACAACUCAAACAAAAUUAUUCAACAACUACAACAAAUGGUUCAACAAAGUAUACGUAAAAAACAAACCACAAAAACAACUACGACUACAAAUUAUUAUACCCCACAAAUAUAU